UGGGCGUGCAAACGAGAGAAGGAACCAAGGGAACCAAAACCCUAAACAACCUAAAAUCAUCAAAUUGAAAGGGGAAUCGAGGGCUGAUCGAAUGCAUGAGUCUAGAUACCCUUUAAUCUAAGUGUAUUGAUCAUAAGGAACGUGUCAAGGAGAGCUCAAGCAUAGGAGGAUAACGGGUCAAGAUAAGGCAAGGUGACAAAUACACUUAUUGGAAUACUCAAGGUAAGUGAUUUCUAUAAUCACUUCUUUAGUUGUUUAAGUAAUAUAAUGUUUUAAUUAUUAAGUUCAUAUGAAGUUGAGGUUAAAUCAAUGGAUUAUUUUGAUAAAUGCACGAAUGGGUCGAAUAAUUCAUAGAUGAAUAACAAGCCGAAUACGUAUAAGUUAAGGAAUUCCUUAACUCGGAUGUUGGACUUCAAGAUCACGUGAUAGAAUAUUAAAUUACAAUCAUAUAGGAAGAAACGUGACGCAAAACGGACGAAAAAUGAGAGAGUUAUGUCCGUUUCAGUAAGGAUUAAUGGCUAGGAAAAGUGCAGAGUUGACACGGCCGGGUGGUGAACUGACACGGCCGGGUGAAGGUUCUGUCAAAAAUAUUAUUUAUGUGAUUUAUGCGCCGUAGGCUUCGGUAUAUUAUCCGUGAACUACGACGGGCCUCCCAAACAUGAUUUCGAGUGUUUCCUUGACGAUUAUAAGUUGUAAACCCAAGUCUAAGCCUCAUGUAAUUUAUAUAAGAGUGUGAUAGAUGUAUGUAAUGAAGUUGGACAUGUAUUACAUGUAAAUGUAUACAAAAAUACGUACGGAACACGUAGGUAUGAAUACAUGAUUGUAGGUAUGAUUAAAUGUAUAUUAGGUAUGUAGAUGUGUAUGAUUGUAAGUUUGUAUGUGUGCAAGUAUGUGCGAAUGCAUGAUUCGGAUGCAUUUGAGAAUUAGCGUUACUAAUAAUGCCCUUGGGUUUGGAAUAUAAGUUGAUUGGAUGCAUUUAAAUGGUUAACGUCCUUUUUAUGAAGAUGUAGUAAAUGAAUAUGUUGAGAUUACGGGUUUGGCUAACCAAGUUAUUAUUGAGUAUGUUUGAAAGUGCAGGUGAUGAAUGUCGGACUUUCGAAGUGUUGAUAUAAUAAUGAAACGGUUGAAUGUUGAAAGGAUAAUCGGACUGAAGUAACUUAUGCGGUAAAUCCUCAAUUUUGGCGACUUGGAGAAUCGGAGCGAGCGCGUGUUCGUGUUAUGCGAUACCAAACGCUUCCGCUAGUUUGUUCAAAUGUUUUUGACCCAAAAUUUGUUGUAUUGGUUUUUAGUAGUAUCUUGUUGAACGAAUUGUAGAAUUGUAUCUAGUUUGUUUAUGUUUAAAACAGGGGUAUGCUCGUUUUAUGGACGGGUCAUGCCCGAUUUUUUUGUUAAAUUAUAGUUUGAUAAUAUCACAUUUAUGAAGGCGAAAUUUUGGG
rnacentral:lncRNA from 1 species